GCACCCAGGCAAGGAUUCUG
rnacentral:miRNA from 1 species